AUUCAGAGAAGAGAGGUCUGCUAGGGUUUUUCUCUCUUUAUCAAUUCCUGCUAGGGUUUUCAAUCCCUGUCUUUCUCUCUUCCGCUUCCCCUGCUGCAAAUCUCAAUAUCUAUUCCAAUAGUUUCUAGUAAGCCUGAUAGAUUUGGAACAUUACAACCAUAUUGCUAAUAGCGCUCUUUUCGUUUUUCGUCCCAUCAUCUGGUCACCGCCGAAUGAUGGCAACUAGGCCUGAAAGUCUUUCUCUCCGAACUUGCUUUUGUCCAAGGCUUCUAAACCUUCGAUGAGGUGAAGGCACGUAUUUGGAUCUGACCUUCUUAGUAUAUAACUACACCUCAAACCAAGUAUAUCCUCGCUGUCGUAACCUGCGCCCGCCGCUGCGCAACCUGCCGCCACCGUGCAACCUGCCGCCGCCGCGCAAGACGCUACCUCAACACUUGGAGAGGUGACCACAUAGUAAAGAUAAUUGAUUGUGAAAUUGGAAGUUGCGUAAAGGUGCUAGGUGGUCAUAGAAGGAUUCCUUGGGUGGUAAGCUUGUAAUCUGGCUUUCCAUAGUAAUUUAUUGGAUCUAUGCCAUUACUUUCUUUUGGUGCUUAUUGUAUAGAAUGAAUCCUCCAGCAUGAAUUUUGAUAAGAUAUGCAUUUAGGAAGUGACAAUUCUAUGAAAUUCAGCACCAAGUUUUCAUUAUUAUCCAUCAAAACCAUUGGUUGCUAUUCAAAUUGUGUGGUUUUUUAAUGUUUUGUUAUUUGCUUACUGUAUCCUAAAUUGGUAUUUGAAUAAUUUGUUCAAGUGGUUAGUAGUUGAGUUCAAGUUGUUAGUAUCUGAAUACUGUAUUAUGAAAGUAUGGGUUGAAUCGAAAAAGAGAUUUCCUUCAAUUCAGUGUAGACAUCUAAAAUUAAAUUGUAUUCAUUGUAAUUAAGCAUGAUUCUCAUGUUAACAUAAGGAAACAAAUGUUGGAAACCUACUCUGUUAGUUAUUUAAUAUUUUAUGUUUAGCCUUAUAUGUUCACUUAAUAGUUUCCUACUCCUCUGAAAUAGUUAAAUUUAUAUUUUUCCUUCAUUGCUUUGUAUGUAAACAAUGCUUCACCAAUUAAAUAUCAUAUAAUUGUGUUUGUUAUGGACUUUAGGUCUCGAGUACUUCCCCUGAUGCACGUAUUAGAUAAUAAGUUUAGGUUAUAACUUCAAGUCAAAAGCCGCAUUUUAAACUUUUUAUCUUGUUUUGCUACAUAGCUUAGGUCUUUAUUGGACAUUCAAAUUAAGUUAUUACACAUAAGUUGCUUUCACACAAGAGUUCAAUUAAGUAAUUUAACUGACUCUUAAAUAAAAUUGGAAGAGAGAAAAAUGAUGGUCCUGCUUUUUUAGUUGCAUGUAUCACUUAGGAUUUGAUUUUUCUUCUUUGUCAAAGAGAAAAUGGCAGAGAUGAAUUGAUGCUUUGACGACUGAAGGAAAGUAUGCUCAUAUGUAUCCGAAAUCAUUGGUGACCAUUACAAUGCUGUGGCACCUUGGCAGAAUGCAAUGUUGUACUUCUGAUUACAUGCCUUAAUUUUUUUUGAAGGAUCACAAGUUUGAGUUAAUUUUUAUGCUUUUUAUUGUUAUCCUAAAAGGAAAAAAAAUUCUUGGAUUUUUUUUCUCUUUUCUUUAUUCUUUGCCUCCCCUUCCUAUCCGUCUCCGGUAAUUUAAACGUGGAGUUUGGCCAUGAAAGUAGAGUUUGUUUCGGAACAUACAUAUAUAGAAAUGAGUGAGGCUUACAUGUGUACAUUAUUUGUUUUUGUUUUUUUAUCAUAUACAUUUUUAUUGUGAUAAACUUGUAAGUUCCAGAAUCCAAACUACUUGUGAUUGUGAUGUUAAUUU